GCGGAAGGAUCAUUACCGAGUGUAGGGUUCCUAGCGAGCCCAACCUCCCACCCGUGUUUACUGUACCUUAGUUGCUUCGGCGGGCCCGCCAUUCGUGGCCGCCGGGGGCUCUCAGCCCCGGGCCCGCGCCCGCCGGAGACACCACGAACUCUGUCUGAUCUAGUGAAGUCUGAGUUGAUUGUAUCGCAAUCAGUUAAAACUUUCAACAAUGGAUCUCUUGGUUCCGGCAUCGAUGAAGAACGCAGCGAAAUGCGAUAACUAGUGUGAAUUGCAGAAUUCCGUGAAUCAUCGAGUCUUUGAACGCACAUUGCGCCCCCUGGUAUUCCGGGGGGCAUGCCUGUCCGAGCGUCAUUGCUGCCCAUCAAGCACGGCUUGUGUGUUGGGUCGUCGUCCCCUCUCCGGGGGGGACGGGCCCCAAAGGCAGCGGCGGCACCGCGUCCGAUCCUCGAGCGUAUGGGGCUUUGUCACCCGCUCUGUAGGCCCGGCCGGCGCUUGCCGAACGCAAAUCAAUCUUUUUCCAGGUUGACCUCGGAUCAGGUAGGGAUACCCGCUGAACUUAAGCAUAU
rnacentral:rRNA from 1 species